UACGGAGGGUGCAAGCGUUGUUCGGAAUUAUUGGGCGUAAAGGGGAGGUAGGUGGUCUCGUUUGUCCAGUGUGAAACCCCCAGGCUUAACCUGGGACCUGCACUGGAAACGGCGAGACUUGAAUCUUGGAGAGGGUUGCAGAAUUCCCGGUGUAGCGGUGAAAUGCGUAGAGAUCGGGAGGAAUACCAGAGGCGUAGGCGGCAACCUGGACAAGUAUUGACACUCAACUCCGAAAGCGUGGGGAGCAAACAGG
rnacentral:rRNA from 1 species